rnacentral:rRNA from 1 species
UGCCAGCAGCCGCGGUAAUACGGAGGGGGCAAGCGUUGUUCGGAAUUACUGGGCGUAAAGCGCACGUAGGCGGACUGAUCAGUUGGGGGUGAAAUCCCGAGGCUUAACCUCGGAACUGCCUUCAAUACUGUCAGUCUUGAGAUCGGAAGAGGUGAGUGGAAUUCCUAGUGUAGAGGUGAAAUUCGUAGAUAUUAGGAAGAACACCAGUGGCGAAGGCGGCUUUCUGGACCAAUACUGACGCUGAGAUGCGAAAGCGUGGGGAGCGAACAGGAUUAGAUA